CUUAACUGACUUUCUCUAGUCCUCUUUAUUAAAUGACUGACUGCUCUGUCAUUGUGUUUUUAUCAAUUACCACUCACUUCUUAGGCAGUGAGCACCAAAAUCUAUUGUUUUUGACAUUAUAAUCAUGUCUCCAUGCUGCGCUGCAGAGAAAGCUCAUUGGAAAAAUGCAGAGUUCUUUAUCUUAAUGUCUUGCUUUUUUCUUCUGGGCAGAACUCCUGUACCACUUCACUGGAGUGGGUAGUGAAGAUCGGCUCUUCCCAGAGCAACACCUUCAACGUGCAAGGGGGAGCUCAUUAGGGGAGUAGAGCUUGUGUCUUGGUUUGUCGUUUCUUCUUUUACUUUUAGUGCAAGAUAGGUGGAAAGCAAUUUAAGCCCCGGUAUUCUUGUCUUGGUGCAUGUGAAGCAGAGCUCCUGCCAUGAAAACUGGAGGAACAGAUCUGAAAGGCCACCGCUUCCUGAAAACUGCAAGGGUAGAGACAAGCUGCGGGACUACGCAUGACAUAACCUCAGGACUCUGUGAAAGUAUGAGACGAAAUUCAUCUGCAAGGAAAGUCAGCAAAAUGCACAUCUGACUUAAUGAGGAGGCAGAGCUCGGAAAAAUGUAUAAAGCUAAUACUCAGGGAAAGUGAAGAAAGCAGAUGAGGCAAAAAGAAUGCACAUGGAAAUGAACAGACAAUUAGCCCAAGAAUGGGUCAGUAAACAACUACAGGAGGCAAAGUGCAAUAAAGAGUCAAGAAUAGAAGUGAAACAUUACUGAAAUCACACCCUACUAGAAUCUGCCUGGACUGGAGGCCAGUGAGGCUAUUUAAGUGAUGCCUUAGAAGACUCCCUUAUGAUAGUUUGAC